rnacentral:rRNA from 1 species
UACGAAGGGAGCUAGCGUUGUUCGGAAUCUCUGGGCGUAAAGCGCCCGUAGGCGGAUGUGUCAGUCAGGGGUGAAAUCCCGGAGCUCAACUUCGGAACUGCCUUUGAUACAGCACGUCUUGAGUCCGGAAGAGGUGGGUGGAAUUCCUAGUGUAGAGGUGAAACUCGUAGAUAUUAGGAAGAACACCGGUGGCGAAGGCGGCCCACUGGUCCGGUACUGACGCUGAGGUGCGAAAGCGUGGGGAGCAAACGGG